rnacentral:rRNA from 1 species
UACGUAGGUGGCGAGCGUUGUCCGGAUUUACUGGGCGUAAAGAGCUCGUAGGCGGCUUGUCGCGUCGACCGUGAAACCCGUGGCUCAACUACGGGCUGGCGGUCGAUACGGGCAGACGUAGAGUUCGGCAGGGGAGACUGGAAUUCCUGGUGUAGCGGUGAAAUGACGCAGAUAUCAGGAGGAACACCGGUGGCGAAGGCGGCUCUGGCGAUACUGACGCUGAGAAGCGAAAAGCAUGGGGGAGCGAACAGG